rnacentral:rRNA from 1 species
UACGUAGGGUGCGAGCGUUGUCCGGAAUUAUUGGGCGUAAAGGGCUCGUAGGCGGCCUGUUGCGUCUGCUGUGAAAGCCCGGGGCUCAACCCCGGGUCUGCAGUGGAUACGGGCAGGCUAGAGUCCGGCAGGGGAGACUGGAAUUCCUGGUGUAGCGGUGAAAUGCGCAGAUAUCAGGAGGAACACCGGUGGCGAAGGCGGGUCUCUGGGCCGGUACUGACGCUGAGGAGCGAAAGCGUGGGGAGCGAACAGG